UUUCUCCUCCUUUCACGGCACAAACUUCCCCAUCUCUCUUUUCCUUAAUCUUUCUUGUCCUGCUCUCUCUUUCUUUUCGAGAUAUUUUUUCUCUUAUUUCCUUCUCCAUUGCUUCUUAAUAUUGCUACCUUUUUGUUUGAUUAAAUAUUUUUUCUCUCGAUCUGCUAUUUAGCAGGUUUUGUAUGCUAUUCGUAUUGCGAUGGGUAGAUGUUUAUCCUCGUUUCUUUUCAUAAAUAGAUCAAAGAAUGGAUCAUGGAAGAAGCAUCAUUUUGGUGUAUUUGUAGAAAUUGAUCAUGGAAGACGCAUCAUUUUGUUGUUGGGAAUCAAAAGACCGGGUGUUGCGCGACUUUGUGGCAUGGCAGGUUAAAAUUAAAUACUGAUGCGGCAUGGCAGAAGGAAACAAAGGUAGGUGGAGUAGGUUGGGUCUUGCGCGACUUUGCAGGAAUUCCAAAGAUGGUGGGAGGAAAUGGUGGGGAGUACUUCUUGUCAUCAGAUAUGGCUGAGGCGGCAGCCAUAAGACAUGGGCUGCAGAUGUGUGUUUGAAGGGGAUUUCAUGCGUCCGGGGAGGUACUGGAGGUGGAGUCUGAUUCGAAGGGAUUGGCUCAAAUGUUAAAUAACGAGAUUCAAGCUGAUGUGUUGAUGGUGGUCUAUUUAGUUGAUAUUUGGAAUAUAAUGCAGUCAUUCCAAUCGGUGAAGUUUAUCUUUACCCUUUGACAAAGCAAUCGUGUAGCUUAUAUGAUGGUGGCGUACGUUCUUAAGCAUGGUGAGAGCUAUGGUUGGGAUGAAUUAGGACCUCAAUUUUUGUUUAAUGUUCUAGGAGAAGAUGUAAAUGUUUUCAUUCGUAUUUGAUAAUUAAUACAAUUCUAUCCUUUGACAAAUAAAAAAAAAAGACCGGUUGUUGAUUAGAUAUAAGUUUUGCUAGAGUCCCUUAUGUACUACUUUCUGGUUUUUAUUUGUAUUUGUCCAUCAUGUGUCGAUCGAAGUUUAUUCUUGUAUAUCUAAAGAGUUUUGAAUGAAUAGUA